UACAGAGGUCUCGAGCGUUAGGCGGAAUCACUGGGCUUAAAGCGUGCGUAGGCGGAUCGGUAAGUACCUUGUGAAAUCCCACAGCUUAACUGUGGAACUGCUCGGUAUACUGCCAGUCUUGAGCCAGCUAGGGGCUACCGGAACAAAUGGUGGAGCGGUGAAAUGCGUAGAUAUCAUUUGGAACGCCAAUGGUGAAAACAGGUAGCUGGGGCUGUGCUGACGCUGAGACACGAAAGCCAGGGGAGCAAACGGG
rnacentral:rRNA from 1 species